rnacentral:snoRNA from 1 species
GGGAAUGGUAUCAAGAGCCAUGGAAGGUCAGAGGAGGGAGCACUCGGCAAAGACUUUGUGGAAGCAUGGAAGAGCAUCUUGGAGAGGCUUUGAGGGCCCAGGUCAGCAGAGUAUCUGCAGCUGCCACUCGCCUUCCCUAUAAAA